GACGAACGCUGGCGGCGUGCUUAACACAUGCAAGUCGAACGGAAAGGCCCUGCUUUUGUGGGGUGCUCGAGUGGCGAACGGGUGAGUAACACGUGAGUAACCUGCCCUUGACUUUGGGAUAACUUCAGGAAACUGGGGCUAAUACCGGAUAGGAGCUCCUGCUGCAUGGUGGGGGUUGGAAAGUUUCGGCGGUUGGGGAUGGACUCGCGGCUUAUCAGCUUGUCGGUGGGGGAGUGGCUUACCAAGGCUUUGGCAGGUAGCCCGCCUUAGAGGGUGGCCCGACAAAUUGUAACUGAGAAACGGCCCAGACUCGUACUGGACGCAGCAGUGGGGAACAGUGCACAAUGGGCGGAAGCAUGCUGAAGCAACGCGGCGCGCGGGAUGACGGCCUUCGAGUUGUAAUCCACUUUCGCAUGAGACGAAGCGUGCGUGACGGUAAUGGGUACAGAAGCACCGGCUAACGACGUG
rnacentral:rRNA from 1 species